CUUUUCUCUUUCCUGUGGUUCCAACAUCUUUAUCCACAGAAGACAAUCCCUUAGGUCCUGGGCUAUUUUCCUAAGGAUGCUGUGACCUCCUGCUUGGACAUGAGUGAACGCUGUUGGAGGAACGGCAAGCAUCUGAAGUGACUGUGUUUACUGUUGAGCGUGAAGGCUCUGGGUGCGAGGACAGGAAGUCACCUCCCGAAACUACCUGCUGAGCCUGUCUCUGUGGGAAGAAGGGGUCUCCACUGGUGCAAUGCGGGGUGACGGCUCACACCCCCAGGACUCCAGCGCACAGCCCAUGAGCAUCACUUUGCCUUCGACGGCACAAGGACUGUGAAGAAAGAGCAGAAAGCCUGCCCCAACCACCUCUCCAGCUGCCACCGCACUUCCAAGUUUGCACAUUUACUUCUGCAAACGAAGUCAUUGGCAUGACCCUGCUUUCACAAAUUAGAUACCUGAGGCUGAUCAAGAUGAGCAUCCUGAGCUCAGAGAGGUUGCACCAUCUGCCCGAUGUCACACACGAGUGUCUGCUGGAGCUGUCUCUGCCCCUUGGAAUCCAGAACUGAUGCUCACUGCCGCACCUGGCUGAAGAAGCUGCAGGGGGGUCCCCUGGGCCGUCCCCGCAGAACUCCUAGUGCACAGAACGCUUGCUCCAGGCUGGGUGAUGGGAGAUGAUGCUUUUCAAAGUUGCUCCAGGGAAUCCCCCUCCUCCCUGGGUUUGGUAAAAACUACCCUAUCUGAGUCUUUCAUUUUCAACAUUUUGUUUUCCUAGGAGGCUUCCUUCCUCACUCCUAUGAGCUGAAUUUU